rnacentral:rRNA from 1 species
GAUGAACGCUGGCGGCGUGCCUAAUACAUGCAAGUCGAGCGAACGGACGAGAAGCUUGCUUCUCUGAUGUUAGCGGCGGACGGGUGAGUAACACGUGGAUAACCUACCUAUAAGACUGGGAUAACUUCGGGAAACCGGAGCUAAUACCGGAUAAUAUUUUGAACCGCAUGGUUCAAAAGUGAAAGACGGUUUUGCUGUCACUUAUAGAUGGAUCCGCGCUGCAUUAGCUAGUUGGUAAGGUAACGGCUUACCAAGGCAACGAUGCAUAGCCGACCUGAGAGGGUGAUCGGCCACACUGGAACUGAGACACGGUCCAGACUCCUACGGGAGGCAGCAGUAGGGAAUCUUCCGCAAUGGGCGAAAGCCUGACGGAGCAACGCCGCGUGAGUGAUGAAGGUCUUCGGAUCGUAAAACUCUGUCAUUAGGGAAGAACAUAUGUGUAAGUAACUGUGCACAUCUUGACGGUACCUAAUCAGAAAGCCACGGCUAACUACGGG